AAUGAACGCUGGCGGCGCGCCUAAUACAUGCAAGUCGAGCGAGAAGACGUAGCAAUACGUUUGUAAAGCGGCGAACGGGUGAGGAAUACAUGGGUAACCUACCCUCGAGUGGGGAAUAACUAGCCGAAAGGUUAGCUAAUACCGCGUACGCUCCUUGGACUUCGGUUCAGGGAGGAAAGCGAUACCGUGGGUAUCGCGCUCUUGGUUGGGCUCAUGUCCUAUCAGCUUGUUGGUGAGGAACGGCUCACCAAGGCUUCGACGGGUAGCUGGUCUGAGAGGACGAUCAGCCACACUGGCACUGCGACACGGGCCAGACUCCUACGGGAGCAGCAGUAAGGAAUAUUGCGCAAUGGGCGAAAGCCUGACGCAGCGACGCCGCGGUGGGGGA
rnacentral:rRNA from 1 species